GCAGUAAGAAAAUGGGCUUCAGAGUCUGAUGGAUCUGGGUGACUGGGCAAGUUCUUUAGCUUGUCAAACCUUCAUUUCUCUAAUUUAUAACAUAAGGACAGUACCUUCUUCCUGUCAAGGUUGAGGCAAGCAUUAGUGAGAAACGUCUCAAGGCCUGGUUCACAUUAAAGGUCAAAAAAGAGAGAAAACAUCACUGUUCUCUUCAGCAGAACUUUUGUCAGUGUGAUCGAGAAUUGUCUCAAGUGACAAGUGAGCUGACCAGGGAACCCUGGGUGGCAGGUACUAUUGGCACCAUUUUCCAGAUAAAGAAAAUGAAGUUCUAAGCAGUCAAAUGACAUGUCAAGAUCACCCAACUGUAAAGGAUGACAGAGGGCACAGAAGCCACCAGCAGAUUCUUUGGAAGGAAGUAACAGGAGUGGAACUUCAUUUUCCCAUGGAUUGUAAAGGGUCUUAAGAAAAAAACUAAUUGAGCUCUCCCUGAGGAAGAAGAAAUUCCAGUCUGGCAGCAGACUGGCUUCAGACUUCAGCUGCAACAUCAGCUCUUCCUUGGAUUUCCAGCCUACCUAACUACUCUGCAGAUUUUGAACUUGCCAGCCUCCACAAUCAUGCUGGGCUCCCUUCCACCUCUUCUCACUGGCCUCCUGUUUGUACCCCUGACCUCUCCGGGAUCUGGAUCCCAACACUGUCUUCUGCAAUGAAAACCCUGAUUUUCUAUAUCUGGACAAAAGACUAGGACAUAACGAGAAUUUUAGCGGAAGGAACUGAGGGAGAGAGAUUGCACAGCAGACAAGGACAAAUAAAGGGAAGGUGGAAACAAGGUCACACACUGUUGCCCAGGCUGGAGUAGAGUGGCGUG